rnacentral:misc_RNA from 1 species
GAUGAAGAACGCAGCGAAAUGCGAUAAGUAGUGUGAAUUGCAGAAUUCAGGGAAUCAUCGAAUCUUUGAACGCACAUUGCGCCCCAUGGUAUUCCGUGGGGCAUGCCUGUUCGAGCGUCAUUUACCCCCUCACGCUCCGCUUGGUGUUGGGCGUCUGUCCCGCUUCGCGCGCGGACUCGCCCCAAAGGUAUUGGCAGCGGUCGUGCCAGCUUCUCGCGCAGCACAUUGCGCUUCUCGAGGCACCGGUGGGCCCGCGUCCAUCAAGCUCACCCCCCCAGUUUGACCUCGGAUCAGGUAGGGAUACCCGCUGAACUUAAGCAUAUCAAUAAGCGGAGGA